UUUCUUUCGAAAACAAGUUUGCCCUCAAAUAAGAAUUCAAAAAACAAUCCAUAUAAAGCAUUGUCCAAUUUCGUAGGAAGCUUUAUCAGAUCAAGUGUCCACUCAUCUCUUCCAACUUUAUUUCUGAAUCAAAGUUCCCCAUGUCCUUUUCAACUACUUCAACCAUUAAUAGUUGUUUGCAUUUAUGACCUCUUGUCAAGUGUUUGUCACAAUGGUAACAGAGUCCCUUUUUACGCCUUUCUUCAAUUGUCUCGAGCAUGAGUUUCUUAAGGGUUCUAAUAGGUGAAGCCUGAGUAUGCUGGCUGAAAUUUGGUUUACCAACAACAUCAAUUAGCUUGCCCAAUCAGUGAACAUCAUCCUUUUGCUAACCUCCUUUCUUCUGUUAUAUGAGUCGAGCCAAACUCAUAACAUCUUCUACGUCCAUUAGAAGUAGGAUCUUAAGCUCCAAUCUUAUUGAAUUUUUGUGCCCAACAAUUAAGUGCCAUUAUUUUUUUUUUGGUUGUUAGUGCUCCAACACAGGCAACCAACUGCACGAGCCACUCUUCAUACCCAUCAAACAAUUUGACCUGUUUACCAUUAAUAAGCACCUCCUGACGCAAGGCUUCGAUUUCCAAACAACAACAAAAGAGACAAAGGAAGCAAAAUAAUGAAAAAUAACAGAAAUUCGUGUCUCUCUGUAGACCAUAUGGGAAAUUGGGUUUGAGCAACACAAUACAUCUCCAAGUGUGCUCCCAGCAGUCCUAACAUGAUCCUACUUGUUUUGAAAGAAUUUAUACUUGUUUUGGGAGUGUUUUUUAGUUGUCAAAUUAGCUUAUUUUAUUUUCCUAUUUCAAUUAGGAUUAGUUAAUUAAGUUUUCCUAUGCUAGCUAGGAUUUAGUUAUUUCCCUAUUUAAUUUAGGAUUCCUAAUGUAUUUAGGUUUAGCUAAACUUCCUAAUAAAUACUUUCAUAUUCCUAUUAGGUUUAGG
rnacentral:misc_RNA from 1 species